rnacentral:rRNA from 1 species
GACGAACGCUGGCGGCGUGCUUAACACAUGCAAGUCGAACGGAAAGGCCCUGCGUUUGUGGGGUGCUCGAGUGGCGAACGGGGGAGUAACACGUGAGUAACCUGCCCUUGACUUUGGGAUAACUUCAGGAAACUGGGGCUAAUACCGGAUAGGAGCUCCUGCUGCAUGGUGGGGGUUGGAAAGUUUCGGCGGUUGGGGAUGGACUCGCGGCUUAUCAGCUUGUUGGUGGGGUAGUGGCUUACCAAGGCUUUGACGGGUAGCCGGCCUGAGAGGGUGACCGGCCACAUUGGGACUGAGAUACGGCCCAGACUCCUACGGGAGGCAGCAGUGGGGAAUAUUGCACAAUGGGCGGACGCCUGAUGCAGCAACGCCGCGUGCGGGAUGACGGCCUUCGGGUUGUAAACCGCUUUCGCCUGUGACGAAGCGUGAGUGACGGUAAUGGGUAAAGAAGCACCGGCUAACUACGUG